AGUGAACGCUGGCGGUAGGCCUAACACAUGCAAGUCGAACGGCAGCACAGUAAGAGCUUGCUCUUACGGGUGGCGAGUGGCGGACGGGUGAGGAAUACAUCGGAAUCUACUUUUUCGUGGGGGAUAACGUAGGGAAACUUACGCUAAUACCGCAUACGACCUACGGGUGAAAGCAGGGGAUCUUCGGACCUUGCGCGAUUGAAUGAGCCGAUGUCGGAUUAGCUAGUUGGCGGGGUAAAGGCCCACCAAGGCGACGAUCCGUAGCUGGUCUGAGAGGAUGAUCAGCCACACUGGAACUGAGACACGGUCCAGACUCCUACGGGAGGCAGCAGUGGGGAAUCUUGGACAAUGGGCGCAAGCCUGAUCCAGCCAUACCGCGUGGGUGAAGAAGGCCUUCGGGUUGUAAAGCCCUUUUGUUGGGAAAGAAAAGCAGCAGGUUAACACCCCGCUGUUCUGACGGUACCCAAAGAAUAAGCACCGGCUAACUUCGUG
rnacentral:rRNA from 1 species